rnacentral:rRNA from 1 species
GUUGAUAGGCGGGAUGUGUAAGCGCUGCGAGGCGUUGAGCUAACCCGUACUAAUUGCUCGAUAGGCUUGACCAUAUUUCA